rnacentral:rRNA from 1 species
AGCACAGAGAGCUUGCUCUCGGGUGACGAGUGGCGGACGGGUGAGUAAUGUCUGGGAAACUGCCCGAUGGAGGGGGAUAACUACUGGAAACGGUAGCUAAUACCGCAUAAUGUCGCAAGACCAAAGAGGGGGACCUUCGGGCCUCUUGCCAUCGGAUGUGCCCAGAUGGGAUUAGCUGGUAGGUGGGGUAACGGCUCACCUAGGCGACGAUCCCUAGCUGGUCUGAGAGGAUGACCAGCCACACUGGAACUGAGACACGGUCCAGACUCCUACGGGAGGCAGCAGUGGGGAAUAUUGCACAAUGGGCGCAAGCCUGAUGCAGCCAUGCCGCGUGUAUGAAGAAGGCCUUCGGGUUGUAAAGUACUUUCAGCGAGGAGGAAGGCGUUGUGGUUAAUAACCACAGCGAUUGACGUUACUCGCAGAAGAAGCACCGGCUAACUCCGUGCCAGCAGCCGCGGUAAUACGGAGGGUGCAAGCGUUAAUCGGAAUUACUGGGCGUAAAGCGCACGCAGGCGGUCUGUCAAGUCGGAUGUGAAAUCCCCGGGCUCAACCUGGGAACUGCAUCCGAAACUGGCAGGCUAGAGUCUUGUAGAGGGGGGGUAGAAUUCCAGGUGUAGCGGUGAAAUGCGUAGAGAUCUGGAGGAAUACCGGUGGCGAAGGCGGCCCCCUGGACAAAGACUGACGCUCA